rnacentral:rRNA from 1 species
CUGCGUACCUUUUGUAUAAUGGGUCAGCGACUUAUAUUCUGUAGCAAGGUUAACCGAAUAGGGGAGCCGGAGGGAAACCGAGUCUUAACCGGGCGUUAAGUUGCAGGGUAUAGACCCGAAACCCGGUGAUCUAGCCAUGGGCAGGUUGAAGGUUGGGUAACACUAACUGGAGGACCGAACCGACUAAUGUUGAAAAAUUAGCGGAUGACCUGUGGCUGGGGGUGAAAGGCCAAUCAAACCGGGAGAUAGCUGGUUCUCCCCGAAAGCUAUUUAGGUAGCGCCUCGUGAAUUCAUCUCCGGGGGUAGAGCACUGUUUCGGCUAGGGGGCCAUCCCGGCUUACCAACCCGAUGCAAACUGCGAAUACCGGAGAAUGUUAUCACGGGAGACACACGGCGGGUGCUAACGUCCGUCGUGAAGAGGGAAACAACCCAGACCGCCAGCUAAGGUCCCAAAGUCAUGGUUAAGUGGGAAACGAUGUGGGAAGGCCCAGACAGCCAGGAUGUUGGCUUAGAAGCAGCCAUCAUUUAAAGAAAGCGUAAUAGCUCACUGGUCGAGUCGGCCUGCGCGGAAGAUGUAACGGGGCUAAACCAU